GUGGGGAAUAUUGGACAAUGGGCGCAAGCCUGAUCCAGCCAUGCCGCGUGAGUGAUGAAGGCCUUAGGGUUGUAAAGCUCUUUCAGUGGGGACGAUAAUGACGGUACCCACAGAAGAAGCCCCGGCUAACUUCGUGCCAGCAGCCGCGGUAAUACGAAGGGGGCUAGCGUUGUUCGGAUUUACUGGGCGUAAAGCGCACGUAGGCGGAUCGUUAAGUCGGGGGCGAAAUCCUGGAGCUCAACUCCAGAACUGCCUUCGAUACUGGCGAUCUUGAGUCCGGAAGAGGUGAGUGGAACUCCUAGUGUAGAGGUGGAAUUCGUAGAUAUUAGGAAGAACACCAGUGGCGAAGGCGGCUCACUGGUCCGGUACUGACGCUGAGGUGCGAAAGCGUGGGGAGCAAACAGGAGUAUAAACCCGAGUAGUCC
rnacentral:rRNA from 1 species